GGGUUGUGAGGUUAAGCGACUAAGCGUACACGGUGGAUGCCCUGGCAGUCAGAGGCGAUGAAGGACGUGCUAAUCUGCGAUAAGCGUCGGUAAGGUGAUAUGAACCGUUAUAACCGGCGAUUUCCGAAUGGGGAAACCCAGUGUGUUUCGACACACUAUCAUUAACUGAAUCCAUAGGUUAAUGAGGCGAACCGGGGGAACUGAAACAUCUAAGUACCCCGAGGAAAAGAAAUCAACCGAGAUUCCCCCAGUAGCGGCGAGCGAACGGGGAGCAGCCCAGAGCCUGAAUCAGUGUGUGUGUUAGUGGAAGCGUCUGGAAAGGCGCGCGAUACAGGGUGACAGCCCCGUACACAAAAAUACACAUACUGUGAGCUCGAUGAGUAGGGCGGGACACGUGGUAUCCUGUCUGAAUAUGGGGGGACCAUCCUCCAAGGCUAAAUACUCCUGACUGACCGAUAGUGAACCAGUACCGUGAGGGAAAGGCGAAAAGAACCCCGGCGAGGGGAGUGAAAAAGAACCUGAAACCGUGUACGUACAAGCAGUGGGAGCACGCUUAGGCGUGUGACUGCGUACCUUUUGUAUAAUGGGUCAGCGACUUAUAUUCUGUAGCAAGGUUAACCGAAUAGGGGAGCCGAAGGGAAACCGAGUCUUAACUGGGCGUUAAGUUGCAGGGUAUAGACCCGAAACCCGGUGAUCUAGCCAUGGGCAGGUUGAAGGUUGGGUAACACUAACUGGAGGACCGAACCGACUAAUGUUGAAAAAUUAGCGGAUGACUUGUGGCUGGGGGUGAAAGGCCAAUCAAACCGGGAGAUAGCUGGUUCUCCCCGAAAGCUAUUUAGGUAGCGCCUCGUGAAUUCAUCUCCGGGGGUAGAGCACUGUUUCGGCAAGGGGGUCAUCCCGACUUACCAACCCGAUGCAAACUGCGAAUACCGGAGAAUGUUAUCACGGGAGACACACGGCGGGUGCUAACGUCCGUCGUGAAGAGGGAAACAACCCAGACCGCCAGCUAAGGUCCCAAAGUCAUGGUUAAGUGGGAAACGAUGUGGGAAGGCCCAGACAGCCAGGAUGUUGGCUUAGAAGCAGCCAUCAUUUAAAGAAAGCGUAAUAGCUCACUGGUCGAGUCGGCCUGCGCGGAAGAUGUAACGGGGCUAAACCAUGCACCGAAGCUGCGGCAGCGACACUGUGUGUUGUUGGGUAGGGGAGCGUUCUGUAAGCCUGCGAAGGUGUGCUGUGAGGCAUGCUGGAGGUAUCAGAAGUGCGAAUGCUGACAUAAGUAACGAUAAAGCGGGUGAAAAGCCCGCUCGCCGGAAGACCAAGGGUUCCUGUCCAACGUUAAUCGGGGCAGGGUGAGUCGACCCCUAAGGCGAGGCCGAAAGGCGUAGUCGAUGGGAAACAGGUUAAUAUUCCUGUACUUGGUGUUACUGCGAAGGGGGGACGGAGAAGGCUAUGUUGGCCGGGCGACGGUUGUCCCGGUUUAAGCGUGUAGGCUGGUUUUCUAGGCAAAUCCGGAAAAUCAAGGCUGAGGCGUGAUGACGAGGCACUACGGUGCUGAAGCAACAAAUGCCCUGCUUCCAGGAAAAGCCUCUAAGCAUCAGGUAACAUCAAAUCGUACCCCAAACCGACACAGGUGGUCAGGUAGAGAAUACCAAGGCGCUUGAGAGAACUCGGGUGAAGGAACUAGGCAAAAUGGUGCCGUAACUUCGGGAGAAGGCACGCUGAUAUGUAGGUGAAGUCCCUCGCGGAUGGAGCUGAAAUCAGUCGAAGAUACCAGCUGGCUGCAACUGUUUAUUAAAAACACAGCACUGUGCAAACACGAAAGUGGACGUAUACGGUGUGACGCCUGCCCGGUGCCGGAAGGUUAAUUGAUGGGGUUAGCGCAAGCGAAGCUCUUGAUCGAAGCCCCGGUAAACGGCGGCCGUAACUAUAACGGUCCUAAGGUAGCGAAAUUCCUUGUCGGGUAAGUUCCGACCUGCACGAAUGGCGUAAUGAUGGCCAGGCUGUCUCCACCCGAGACUCAGUGAAAUUGAACUCGCUGUGAAGAUGCAGUGUACCCGCGGCAAGACGGAAAGACCCCGUGAACCUUUACUAUAGCUUGACACUGAACAUUGAGCCUUGAUGUGUAGGAUAGGUGGGAGGCUUUGAAGUGUGGACGCCAGUCUGCAUGGAGCCGACCUUGAAAUACCACCCUUUAAUGUUUGAUGUUCUAACGUUGACCCGUGAUCCGGGUUGCGGACAGUGUCUGGUGGGUAGUUUGACUGGGGCGGUCUCCUCCUAAAGAGUAACGGAGGAGCACGAAGGUUGGCUAAUCCUGGUCGGACAUCAGGAGGUUAGUGCAAUGGCAUAAGCCAGCUUGACUGCGAGCGUGACGGCGCGAGCAGGUGCGAAAGCAGGUCAUAGUGAUCCGGUGGUUCUGAAUGGAAGGGCCAUCGCUCAACGGAUAAAAGGUACUCCGGGGAUAACAGGCUGAUACCGCCCAAGAGUUCAUAUCGACGGCGGUGUUUGGCACCUCGAUGUCGGCUCAUCACAUCCUGGGGCUGAAGUAGGUCCCAAGGGUAUGGCUGUUCGCCAUUUAAAGUGGUACGCGAGCUGGGUUUAGAACGUCGUGAGACAGUUCGGUCCCUAUCUGCCGUGGGCGCUGGAGAACUGAGGGGGGCUGCUCCUAGUACGAGAGGACCGGAGUGGACGCAUCACUGGUGUUCGGGUUGUCAUGCCAAUGGCACUGCCCGGUAGCUAAAUGCGGAAGAGAUAAGUGCUGAAAGCAUCUAAGCACGAAACUUGCCCCGAGAUGAGUUCUCCCUGACUCCUUGAGAGUCCUGAAGGAACGUUGAAGACGACGACGUUGAUAGGCCGGGUGUGUAAGCGCAGCGAUGCGUUGAGCUAACCGGUACUAAUGAACCGUGAGGCUUAACCUUACAACGCCGAAGCUGUU
rnacentral:rRNA from 1 species